rnacentral:rRNA from 1 species
GACGAACGCUGGCGGCGUGCUUAACACAUGCAAGUCGAACGGAAAGGCCCUGCUUUUGUGGGGUGCUCGAGUGGCGAACGGGUGCGUAACACGUGAGUAACCUGCCCUUGACUUUGGGAUAACUUCAGGAAACUGGGGCUAAUACCGGAUAGGAGCUCCUGCUGCAUGGAGGGGGUUGGAAAGUUUCGGCGGUUGGGGAUGGACUCGCGGCUUAUCAGCUUGUUGGUGGGGUAGUGGCUUACCAAGGCUUUGACGGGUAGCCGGCCUGGGAGGGUGACCGGCCACAUUGGGACUGAGAUAGGGCCCAGACUCCUACGGGAGGCAGCAGUGGGGAAUAUUGCCCAAUGGGCGGACGCCUGAUGCAGCAACGCCGCGUGCGGGAUGACGGCCUUCGGGUUGUAAACCGCUUUCGCCUGUGACGAAGCGUGAGUGACGGUAAUGGGUAAAGAAGCACCGGCUAACUACGUG